CUGUCUACGAGAACCCUCUUCACCUCAAACCUUAUCCCUCGGUAUGUGGAUCCUGAUGAGGUAGACACUGUUCUUGCUGUCUUCCAGAUUGAUACUGGUUAUAAAUGCAGUGAUCUGAAACUCGACACUGAGCAUCAAAGACUGCAAACUGUUUAGGUUCAUCUUCAUCUGCUUCGAUUGGUGGAUGAGAUGUGACCAUGAUGCCAUACUUCCUUGCAGAUAAAUCUUUCUUACUCGACUUAGCAAGAAGAAUGACUCGAGAACAAAUCUGCAUGUCGCCAUCAACGUCAACAAGCAACGUGGGAAGGAUGAUAGGAGCGGGAAAAAGAAUGUGGCAUGAUUCAUCCCCUCUCCCUGCAACCUCCAAUCUAUGCCAUGCUAUUGCUCCCCUUUAAAGUUGACUUGGCGAACCUAUUCAUACAACACCUAAGCCCCCCCCUAGCCUUAAUACAUCCCAUCCCAUCCUUGCUUCCAAUCUGUGGCUUGGCGGCUCUCAUGAACGCCACCAUGAGCAUGUUGAGCAUGGUGGAGGCGAAGCUGCCUCCAGGUUUCAGGUUCCACCCGAGGGACGACGAGCUCGUCUGCGACUACCUCGCCGCGAAGGCCGCCGGAGGCAGCACCGAGAGCAGUUCCAUGAUGAUGGUGGAUGUUGAUCUCAACAAGUGUGACCCAUGGGAUCUUCCUGGUAUGAUUUCUUUCCCCCGUAUAACAUCAUUUGCUGGUGUAGCAUAGUGUUGUUUCCGCUUGAUUUCACAUGAACCAGCUGGUGUUUGUUCUUGAAAGCGCACAGUUUGAUCCAUCAAAAAGCAUUCUGUAGACAAUAUUGAGUUUGCUGCACCCUGCCAUGGCUGCCAUAUCCUUUAAUUCAUAUCUAUGAGCAUGGAUCUCAAAGACAAUGUAUGAUCAAACUUCUCUUACCCCAUUCAUGAAAAUAAAACCACAAAGAUACAUCCGUGCCAAAUACAAUAA